UUCGGUGCCAUUUUGGUGCAGUUUCUGUUCCAAUUUUGGUGCCAUUUUGGUGCCAUUUUGGUGCUGUUCUGCCACCAUUUUGGUGCCAUUCUGGUGGCAUUAUUUCGUGUCAUUUUGGUGCCAUUUCGGUGCCAUUUUGGUGUAAUUUCAGUGCAGUUUUGGUGCUUUUUCUGUGCCAUUUUGGAGCCAUUUUGGUGUCAUUUUGGUGGCAUAAUUUCGUGUCAUUUCAGUGCCAUUUUGGUGCCAUUUUGGCUCU
rnacentral:lncRNA from 1 species